AUGGAGCUGCUGUCCAAUGCCCUGGCGCACCACUCCGUGCCAGACAGGUACGUCUUCCCGCCCGACAAGCGCCCCGUCCCGCUCUCCGAACGACCACAGCCCAGACGUCGCCUUCCCCGUCAUCGACCUGCACCGCGGCGACCUCCCCAUCUCCGACCAUCGCCGCCGCCAGGCGGUCGAGGUGAUCGUCAAGGCCGGCAAGGAGUUCAGCUUCUUCCAGGUGGUGAACCACGGCAUGGGGGAGGGCGUGGUGCGGGGGCUCCGGCGGAGGACAAGCUCCCCUGCUGCUCCUACGACAUGAGCAAGCGCUUCCGGCUCACCAGCAGCACCUCCUACGACCACGGCGAGACCCGCUACUGGCGCGACUACAUCAAGUUCCCCUGCUACCCGGCCUCCGAUGAGAACGCGCGCCACUGGCCGUCCAAGCCGUCUAACUUAACGCCCAGCCUCGUCGAGUACUCCACGGCAGUGCACGAGCUAGCCCAGACCAUCCUCUGUCUGAUCGCCGAGGGGCUGGGCCUUGACGGCAGCUUCUUCACCGGCGACCUCAGUGGCGGCGACACGCACAUAAGCGUCAACUACUACCCGCCUUGCCCAGACCCAACCGUCACGAUGGGCCUACUCGCGCACUGCGACCGCCACCUCCUCACCGUGUUUUCGCAGGCUGAUGUCCAGGCAAGGCACGGUGACAGGUGGCUCCUCGUCCAUCCCAUCCCCAGCGCGUUCGUCGUCAACUUUGGCCACCAGAUGGAGAUCGUCACCAACGGGGUGCUGGCCAGCGUGGAGCACCGCUCCGUCACCAACUCCGCUGUGGCGAGGAUCGGAGGAUGUCGGUGGCCACACACGUGCACCCCACCGAUGGGUGCCGCAUCAGACCGGCGCCAGAAAUAG
rnacentral:rRNA from 1 species